UCUAAGCCCUCAAUGGCAAGUGACAUUUUCUUUUAUUAACUUGGAAGAUAUCCAUAGUCAGACACAGCAUCCACAUCCCUCACAUCCAUGCCUGCCUUCCCUGUGUCUUCCCUGGACUCCUGCAUCUGUAGUUAAGCUCAGGUCACGUGACUCCCUCACACUCGUGCUUCCUUUUGCCCUUUAGAGUACUCGCCACAUCACGUGAUAAUACUGCAUCAUGUGGCAAUACCGUUAUGCCCUGGAUUUGUUAAACAUUGUCAUGUCCCAGUUGACAAGCUGUUGGUAGUUGAUGGCUGCUGAUAGAAGGAGAAUCAUCUUUCUUGAGGAGUAUGGCCGAGGUCUGUGACCAGCAUCUAGCCCUUGCUUCUGAACUCACUACAUUUCACACCAGUGCCACGGCAGCUACGGUGAUUGUGUGUGGAGCCAUACGGAGUCUGAGCAAGCACCAUGGAGCCAGGUGGCUCCACAGCCUUCUGUGCACAGACCCUGCCAGAAGAGAGUUGGUCUCCCAGAAGUACGGACACAGGCUUACUGGCCCAUAGAAGGGACAAGCUCCAGCCAGGGACAGCAAGACCAGCUAACACCAUAGAUAGCCAGAUGGUACAAGGCAAGCAAAAGGUAAGUGCAAGAACCCUACCAACAGAAACCAAGGCCACAUGGUAACAUCAGAACCCAGUUCUCCCACCACAGCAAGACCUGGAUACCCCAACACACUGGAUUGUUGCUGGAUCCAAAGCAAGAGUUGGAUUUAAAAUCUCAUCUCAUAAUGCUGAUAGAGGACUUCAAGAAGGACAUAAAUAACUCCCUUAAAGAAAUACAGGAGAACAUGUUAAACAGGUAAAAGCCCUUAAAGAGGAAAGACAAAAAUUCCUUAAAGAGAUACAGGACAACAUGGGUCAACAGGCAGAAGCCCUUAAAAAGGAAAUACAAAAAUCCCUUAAAGAAUUACAGGAAAACAAAAACAAACAAGUGAAGGAACUGAACAAAACCAUCCAGGAUCUAAAAAUGGAAGUAGAAAUAAUGAAGAAAUCACAAAGGGAGACAAUUCUAGAUAUUGGAAACCUUGGAAAGAAAUCAGGAGUCCUAGAUGUAAGCAUCAACAACAGAAUAAAGGAAUCCAAGAAAGAAUCUCAGGUUCUGAAGAUACCAUAGAAAACCUUGACUCAACAGUUAAGAAAAUGCAAAAUGUAAAAAGCUUGUAACACAAAACAUUCAGGAAAUUCAGGGCACAAUGAGAAGACCAAACUUAAGGAUUAUAGGUAUAGAAGAGAGCAAAGAUUUCCAACUUAAAGGGCCAGUAAAUAUCUUCAACAAAAUUAUAGAAUAAAACUUCCCUAACCUAAAGAAAGAGAUGCCCAUGAACAUACAAGAAACCUAUACAACACCAAACAGACUGGACCAGAACAGAAAGUCCUUCCGGCACAUAAUAAUCAAAACACCAAAUGAACAAAACAAUGAAAGAAUAUUAAAAGCAGUAAGGGAAAAAGGUCAAGUAACUUAUAAAGGCAAGCCUAUCAGAAUUACACCAGACGUCUCACCAGAGAUGGUGAAAGCAAGAAGAUCCUGGGCAGACUUCAUACAGACCCUAAGAGAACACAAAUGCCAGCCCAGGGUACUAUACCCAGCAAAACUCUCAAUCAUCAUGAUGGAGAAACGAAGAUAUUCCAUGAUAAAACCAAAUUUACACAAUAUCUGUCCACAAAUCCAGCCCUACAAAGGCUUAAUAGAUAGAAAAUGCCAACACAAGGAGGGAAACUACACCCUAGAAGAAAGUAAUCUUCUUCCAACAAACCCAAAAGAAAAUACCCACACAAACAUAAAAAUAACAUCAAAAACAACAGGAAUCAGCAAUCACUAUUCCUUAAUAUCUCUUAAGAACAAUGGACUCAACUCCCCAAUAAAA